GUGCUUUCUUCGGCAGCACAUAAAGUAAAAUCGAAAUGAUACAGAGAAGACUAGCAUGGCCCCUGCGCAAGGAUGAACAUGCAAAUUUGUGAGGUGUUCCAUAUUUUU